UAGCGCAAUCUUAACGAUGGAUGUCUUGGUUCCUAUAGCGAUGAAGGCCGCAGCAAAGUGCGAUAUGCAAUGAAAAAUGCAAUUACUGUGAAUCAUCAGAAUGCUGAAUGUAAAUUGUACCA